rnacentral:rRNA from 1 species
GACGAACGCUGGCGGCGUGCUUAACACAUGCAAGUCGAGCGGAAAGGCCCUUCGGGGUACUCGAGCGGCGAACGGGUGAGUAACACGUGAGCAACCUGCCCUAGGCUUUGGGAUAACCCCGGGAAACCGGGGCUAAUACCGGAUAGGACUGCUGGCCGCAUGGCUGGUGGUGGAAAGUUUUUCGGCCUGGGAUGGGCUCGCGGCCUAUCAGCUUGUUGGUGGGGUGAUGGCCUACCAAGGCGACGACGGGUAGCCGGCCUGAGAGGGCGACCGGCCACACUGGGACUGAGACACGGCCCAGACUCCUACGGGAGGCAGCAGUGGGGAAUAUUGCACAAUGGGCGGAAGCCUGAUGCAGCGACGCCGCGUGAGGGAUGACGGCCUUCGGGUUGUAAACCUCUUUCAGCAGGGACGAAGCGUAAGUGACGGUACCUGCAGAAGAAGCGCCGGCCAACUACGUGCCAGCAGCCGCCGUAACAC